UUGAAAGAGCGCGUCCGACAACGACGGGGUGAGGAACUAACGUCUGGACCGGAAGUCGGUCGGCUCGCGACACAAGAUACAUCGAUCGCGGUUCGAUGCUACGCGAGAUCGAUAUCAUCUCGACGAUCGAGCUGUAACACGCGUGAUUUACUUCUCCUUUUCGUUAGAUUUCGAUCGUUCAAACUUGUCUCGCGCGAUACACAAUGCGGCGCGCGAGUGCGAAGAAAAGCGAGUGAAAACGAACGGCUGGUGUCAGCCGAGAGAACGGCGCGAAUAAUCGGCAGUGGGACAUCGCGCGCGAAAAUGUCUCGACGGAUUGUGCUCAUCGAGUAUCCAGUGAUUUAACGCUUUCGACAAGGUCGCACACCAUCUCGGGUUUCGUAUCGUCGGACAUCAUCAAGCCGACUUAUCGCCAAGGGCGAUCGCGCGCCGUCGUUGAACGCGGAUUACAGUCUAGGACGAUCGAAUCGAUUGGUGUGUACGCGGUGAUCCUGCGACGACGAUCAGGACGAGCGGGAGUCACUUGAGGCAGCUCGUGGGGUUAGUGCCAGGAUUCCAUCUAAUACAUGAACCUCGAGUGCUGAUCGAUUUUGUCGAAUCAUCGAUGUACCAACGCCGCGGAGCGAUCCACGACGGCCGUCGGUCGUCGCGUCGCGAGGUGACAGCCGUCGCGUGCCGAUCGUACAAUUUGGCGCCGACGCGUGCACGGAAGAUGGAAGUAAGAACUCGCGUUCGUGCGUCCGCGUGGAGCACUGAGGGCUGAAGUUUCCAAGUUCCGGUGGCCUACUUCGGCACUGUCCUCCGGACGGAGGGCGCGCGAGCUCGUGUUUCUAGGAUGUCCGAGAGAUGACUGGGUACUGAGGAGGAGAGGGCGCAGUGGCUUUGAAGGUUGCUGCCACCUCGGUUUGGUGGAAUGGAGAUGAACGGCACCGAAAGCAGCCUGAAUGGCACCGAGGUCAAUCGCACUUCCGCGCCUAUCUUUACUAUUGGCACGGAUUUUAUCACGCAAUGGAAGCUGAAGAGACAACGGGAACGCCUAUGCCGAUUCGUGUACAAUCAAAUUUUGACAGAAGAAUGUACCCAGUUAAAUGGAACAUGGCCUGACCCGGAUGAUCCGCGCUGGAGCAGUGGUGAAUACGCGGAGCUUCUGCCCGAUUGGUUCCCAAUAAACGUGACGAAUACCUCGACUUUCGGAAACGCAACGACUUCGUCAACGUUGGAUGAAUCUCUGACGCCCGUUUUGCCACCAUUCACGCUCUGGCAAACGGUACUGAUUGCUAUCUGUCUGGCGAUAUGCAUACUGCUAACUGUCGGCGGUAACAUUCUCGUUCUUCUGGCAUUCAUCGUAGAUAGAGCCAUCAGGCAACCAAGUAACUACUUCAUCGCAUCAUUAGCUGCCACAGAUAUGCUUAUCGGCACCGUGUCGAUGCCGUUCUACACGGUCUACGUGCUGAUGGGAUAUUGGAAUCUCGGUCCUCUUCUCUGCGAUCUAUGGCUGUCCGUGGAUUACACCGUAUGCCUGGUGUCCCAGUAUACCGUUCUCUUGAUCACGAUCGAUCGGUUCUGCUCGGUGAAGAUAGCCGCGCAGUAUCGCAGCUGGCGGACGAAGCAGCGCGUGAUCUGGAUGGUGACCAUCACCUGGAUCAUACCGGCGCUGCUCUUUUUUAUCAGCAUCUUCGGCUGGGAGCACUUCAUCGGUUAUCGAGAUCUGAAUCCGGGCCAGUGCGCCGUGCAGUUCCUCAAGGAUCCAGUGUUCAACACCGCGCUGAUAAUAGGAUAUUACUGGACGACGUUGAUCGUCCUGUUCAUUCUCUACGGCGGCAUAUACAAAACCGCGUACGACAUGCAGAAGAAGAGCGAGGCCAAGCAGCGCAAGAUGCAGUCGAUGGUCGCGUUGAGCGCCGGCGCGAUGUCCGGUAUGGCUGGUCGCGCCGCCGGUAUAGGCAUCUCCAAGACUCAGAGCACCCUGUUGAGCCAGGACAAGCCGAAGAUCGGGACUACGUUGGUGGACGACAGCGUCUCUAGCGCGGACGCGACGGUCACGCAGAAAACAGUCGCGAAGACCGCCGACUCCGCGGCGGCGUCGGACUCCGCUAACAAGAAUGUCCUCGCGAACAUCUCGGUGACGGAAGCCGAGAAAUCCGAACGCUCGAGUAGUCCUGCCUUCGAUUCCGACGAGGAGAGCACCGUCGGCACCGCUCAGCAGCUCAGCACCAUCAGAAAGCGGUCCUCUCUGGCGGGUCUAGUAGCGCAGUCCGGUGCUUUCCAGGUGUUCGCCACCAACGGACGCUUGAACGGCAUCAUGCCGGUCAAGGUCGAGCUGAGUGUGCCAACGGCGAACAGGAAGCUACUGCCGACGAGUCCUACGCGCGACAUGGCAACGCAGAAAGCUCAAACACUGCCGAAGAUACAGGAGUUCAGUCUGCUGGACACCGACAAUCCCGCCGAGCCCGCCGACAAGUCCAGCAGCCGCACGCUGACGCCCGAGCAAUCCUUGAAAUCGAACGACGCCGAAGGCAAUCAACAAUCGAUCGCCUCGGUCGAGGCGACACCGCCCGCUCAACUUAAGCACCCGUCGAUCAAUAGCGUACAACAGAACAUCAUACCGCCGCCCACGCAGUUCCAAAGCAGCCCGCCGGUCUCGGAAAGCCCGACGACAUCCUCGUCGAUGACGACCGACCGGCCAAAGUCGCUGGUGAUGGCUCAAGGCACUUACGACAUCCUUACCGGUCUCGACGGCGGCGAUUUGCGGUACAUGGAUGAGAGUUCCAUCAUUCUACCCAGUCCCUCCUACGAGAGCCCACCGUCUUCCUUCUCCUGCAGCCUGGCGAAUCCGCUGUCCACGGCACCGCCGUCGCCCAUCCUGGGCAACACGGUGCCGGCCGGCGCGGGCACCCGCCUGUUGCAGGCCGCUCUUAUCAGAGCAACAGCGCAGCAAACCGGCGGCGGCGGCGGCGGCGGCGGCGGCGGCCAGCUGGUUCAGAUCAACGUUGGCAAACAUCAUCAGCACCAUCCACAGCCGGUGAUGUCUAACGCGUCGAGUCAGACGCAUCCGCCGCGCGUGUUCAUCACUCAUCAGACGAACGCCGCGUCGCAGACGUCGCCCACCGUCAGCAAGAUGCACACCGUCAGUAAAGUGCACACGGAAGUCACCGUCAAUACUGACGGGGCGAAGCCCCGUCAACCGGUUACGACAGUGGUCGCGACACCCGCGGCCAUAGCGAUGGAAUCGUCCAACAGCAUGACGGAUCGAUUUUCAGAUCAGGCCACCAAGUUGAGCAGCAACUUGCCUCAGAACUCGUCAUCCAGCAGCAUAAUGCCGACGGUGUCGCCCACUACGAACAGCCAGGAGACGAAGAGGCAGUCUUCGAAGAAGAAGGACGCCACGUCGGACGCGGAGCAGAGCGGCUCGAGACGGGACUUCGUCAAGUCCAUCGGCAAGCGGCUGAAAGCAAAGACGCAAAAGAAGGAUCCCACGAUAGGCCGACAGAAGUCGCGAACGGAGAAUAGGGCGCGCAAAGCCUUCCGCACGAUAUCUUUUAUUCUGGGUGCGUUCGUCGCCUGUUGGACGCCUUAUCACAUUUUAGCGCUGGUGGAGGGAUUCUGCGCGAAUCCGCCGUGCACCAACGAGCAUCUCUUCAUGUUCUCGUACUUCCUAUGCUACGCCAACAGUCCGAUGAAUCCGUUCUGCUACGCCCUGGCGAAUCAGCAAUUCAAGAAGACCUUCACGAGGAUACUGAAGGGCGAUCUGCACAUGACGUAAAACAGGGCAGCAGUUCGAGCAGCAGCACUCGUUUCGAUAAAUGUAGCUAAACGUAGGCGACGCGGACUCCCUUCGCGGAGAAGAUGGCCUUCCACACUUAACACCGAAUUAUACUCGCUCGUCGUAAUAAUUUGUGGUGGACUCGGACAAUAAUAAAAUGGAAAUAAUAAUGUAAGACUCGCCGGCGAAGCCGAGCAUCACGCGCCUUUUGUACAUAAAAUGUCGCAGCGCACUUCGAGCCGUUCGAAAGUCAUACCCAGUAUGUAUAUAUGUUGUAUACAUGUGUGAAUAUUUGUUAAUCUUUAUGUAAUGUGCUCAGGACGCGCGUAGGUGUGUGUACAAGUAGCCCUAGACAGUUAUAUGUAUGUGUACCAUGAUAAUAAACACAUUGCAGUCCUAAAAUAAUAAACUCGCGAUUCAUGGAACGACGUGGACGCUAAUGCCGUAGAGAGCUUGCGAAAUCUGACGCUACGGGGAACAUUACGGAUAGAAUAGUAAUUAUGCUUUAGUUUAAUCGUAAGCUUUAGUGGUAGUCGAACGAGGAAGAAUCGUUCAUCACGAAAGACGAAAAGUGAAGAUAUUAAACAUAAGAUAUUGACAGCCGGCUGUAUCAUGAAACAAUUAGCCGCUUCGAAUAAAGAAAACUGUUUCUUCAUACGCGCAGUAAUCGUGGAGCGUUUUCGCGGCGCUUACCAUAUGUUAUUAAUUCCCUGAAUAUUUCGAGUAUUUCACAAGUUCUUUAACAUGUUAUCUUUUUUUUUUAGGAACAACGAAUCAGCUCGAGGUAGCUCGCCUCGUAGAGGUACCGAGCAAUUGACGAUUUUCUUACGGCUCUCGAUCGUGGAUCGGAAUAUACACUGCCUUGAGAUGGCCUAAUGCGCAGGCCUUUUCUCUUCGAGUCUUGUGACACUUGGUACUCUCCUUACAAACGAGCUCCCGUCGAUGCCUGAUUGAUGUUUUGUAGCAAUAAGCUCGCGUCUGAGAAAAUAUUUUAUCUCAAUGAGUGUUUAAAAACGGUUAUUUUUAGCUAAUAUUAAAAUGCUAGCUAAUUAUUUUUAACUGAAUAAUUAACAUCGUUUUUUAUUAUACUUUAUUGUAAGCUAUCUGUGUAAUUACCGUUUGUUUUCAUUAUAUUUUAAUUAAAAAGCUCAUUGCGAUAAUUAAUAUGUUGCAGGUGUGAACAAUUAAUUAACAGCAGACUGUGAUUAUAACUUACGAAGCCGGUAACGCUUCAGUAUUGCUUAUUUUUAAAAAUAUACCAACAACGCCUAAUUUUUUAAUUCCAUUUUACAUAAAGCGCGUGUGUAUCUCGCGAUUACUGCAAACCGUUGACAAAAUGGAAAUCGAUAUAUUACUAAGAUAUUGCGAUGAUUCACUGUAACACGGAUACUUGCAACAGAAAUGAAA
rnacentral:misc_RNA from 1 species